UACAGAGGUCUCAAGCGUUAUCCGGAUUCACUGGGUUUAAAGGGUGCGUAGGCGGGCAGGUAAGUCAGUGGUGAAAUCUCCGAGCUUAACUCGGAAACUGCCAUUGAUACUAUUUGUCUUGAAUAUUGUGGAGGUAAGCGGAAUAUGUCAUGUAGCGGUGAAAUGCUUAGAUAUGACAUAGAACACCAAUUGCGAAGGCAGCUUACUACACAAUGAUUGACGCUGAGGCACGAAAGCGUGGGGAUCAAACAGG
rnacentral:rRNA from 1 species